rnacentral:rRNA from 1 species
GGGUUGUGAGGUUAAGCGACUAAGCGUACACGGUGGAUGCCCUGGCAGUCAGAGGCGAUGAAGGGCGUGCUAAUCUGCGAUAAGCGCCGGUAAGGUGAUAUGAACCGUUAUAACCGGCGAUACCCGAAUGGGGAAACCCAGUGUGACUCGUCACACUAUCAUUAACUGAAUCCAUAGGUUAAUGAGGCGAACCGGGGGAACUGAAACAUCUAAGUACCCCGAGGAAAAGAAAUCAACCGAGAUUCCCCCAGUAGCGGCGAGCGAACGGGGAGGAGCCCAGAGCCUGAAUCAGCAUGUGUGUUAGUGGAAGCGUCUGGAAAGGCGCGCGAUACAGGGUGAUAGCCCCGUACACAAAAGCGCAUGUGUUGUGAGCUCGAUGAGUAGGG